rnacentral:rRNA from 1 species
UAGGGAAUCUUCCACAAUGGACGCAAGUCUGAUGGAGCAACGCCGCGUGAGUGAAGAAGGCUUUCGGGUCGUAAAGCUCUGUUAUUGAAGAAGAACGUGUGUGACAGUAACUGGUCAUGCAGUGACGGUAUUCAAUCAGAAAGUCACGGCUAACUACGUGCCAGCAGCCGCGGUAAUACGUAGGUGGCAAGCGUUGUCCGGAUUUAUUGGGCGUAAAGCGAGUGCAGGCGGUCUUUUAAGUCUGAUGUGAAAGCCUUCGGCUUAACCGAAGAAGGGCAUCGGAAACUGGGAGACUUGAGUGCAGAAGAGGAGAGUGGAACUCCAUGUGUAGCGGUGAAAUGCGUAGAUAUAUGGAAGAACACCAGUGGCGAAGGCGGCUCUCUGGUCUGUAACUGACGCUGAGGCUCGAAAGCGUGGGUAGCAAACAGGAUUAGAUACCCUGGUAGUCCACGCCGUAAACGAUAAAUACUAAGUGUUGGAGGGUUUC